rnacentral:rRNA from 1 species
UACGUAGGGUGCGAGCGUUAAUCGGAAUUACUGGGCGUAAAGCGUGCGUAGGCGGUUGGCAAAGUCAGCUGUGAAAGCCCCGGGCUUAACCUGGGGAAUGGCGGUUGAAACUAGUCGACUAGAAUCUGGCAGAGGGGGGUGGGAAUUCCACGGUGGUAGCAGGUGGAAAUGCGUAGGAGAAUGUGGAGGAACACCGAUGGCGGAAGGGCAGCCCC